UGUGGUUAUUUGUAAUAUCCUGUAUGUGUCUGGAGUACUUUGAUGCCUUGGAUUGGAAGCUAACUUAAAAGAUGAACUUUUGAGGGUGUGUUUUCUAUUGUGUGGGGCUUUUGUCGAAAUUAGGAUUCCGAAACACGUUUUUCUACGGUGGGUUCAUUCGACAGCGAUUUACUUUCUUAGAAGUUGCGAGACGGUAUGUUUUUGAUUGCAAUUAUUGGAAGAUGACAGAUCCAUCUUUAAAAUGAUACCAGGUUCGGAAAAAUUGAUACGUCGGAAAGGCAAGAAAAAUGCUGUGAAAGUUGUCAGUUUUAUAAUGGGACCCUAUGGGAAUCGGAAUUAGUGUAAUAUAACCUUUAAAAAGCACAUUUACUGCAAUGUCAAGGUCACAUGGAUUCGUCUGCAAGCAAGACAAGUAGAAAAUGAAUUUUAAUGAAUGUUUUGAUGAUUUGGGUGCUAAAAUAGAUGAGAGGUGUCAAUAUUUUGGUCCAAAUGGAUGUUUUAGGUGGUUUUAGACGGUUCCGGAUGGGUGGGGGACCUGGUAUGGACAAGUAAGGGUAACAUUUCCAACAAAUCUUAAAUGUAAAUAUUAUUAUGUCCAUAGAUUGAAGUUUCAGGUGGAGAGCAAGAUGAAAAAUAUGCAAAAUUACAUGCAUGCAACCCAUUUAUGCCAUUUUUCUCUUUGUUUGUAGGCCUGACCGUUUGUCCUUGAGCCGUAGAUGGUCAACAAUCCGCUAGCUGUCUUGCUCUGACUGGUGCACUGGACAUGAUUUCAAUAGUCAGCCAGACCAUGAUUGAGCUUAAGGAUUGUGCUGCGGAUGCAGCCUGUGCAGUUCCGGGAGAAAGUCACUGUCUCGGGCAAUGCGGUCUGGUAUCAGGUCUGGAUGAUCCUUGCCUGACUGCGGGUUUGUGUACACCUCAAUCCGACUCUGUGUCCUGAACAGAGGCCGCAGUGGUGCAGCGCUUGUGGACGAUCCAUCAACAUCCUGAAAGGUCAACACUACACCAAGCUGGAAAAAUUGAUCCUGAUAGUCAUCCCCAGGUAGUGGAAUGAAUGUUCACUGAACUACAGAGGAAUCACACCCAAAUGACUUUCCUGCCACGACAUUAGUGUGGCCACUCGCGUAGGAAUUCCUUAGCAAACAUGCUCUUUUGCAUGGUGACUGUGGACAUUUUUGCAAAACUUACGCUUUCAACACUGGAUUUUAAAGAGAAUACUUAAUAAAAUGUCGCUAACAGUACUUAUUUAUAUGAGAGAGACUAUCUGGAUGCGCAUUAAGUGUCACUUUGUGUCGUAAGCUGUUGAAGGAGCGAUUUGCGCCUUUUUAAGUGUUAAUUUUGGGUAGCCGGCUUGUAUCAGCUUGAAAGCUGAAAAUUAUGCCUCUCAUCAUAAUAGCAUUAAUUUUUGUAAUUGCAAUGUGUAUGUUUAGAUUGUAAGUGAAGCUUUUAAUAACAAUUUUCUUAAAAAACA